rnacentral:tRNA from 1 species
ACUGCCUUAGCUCAGUUGGUAGAGCGUCGGAUCACACAUCUGCAAGGCGUGUGUUCAAAUCUCGCCGGCAGUC